GCAGGCACCCCUGCCGCCGGGGCUGGAACAAGGCCCUCCUUCACGCCGAUGAGCUCAGACACUGACCGUCUGACCCAGAUGUGGUCAAGGCAAAUGGGCGGAGCCCUGGCCUCUCAGCACGAGGGAAGUGACCACGGGGGUGACCCGCGCCCCUCUGUUCUCUCCAGGAGCACCCACGGGGAGCACUGCCAACAGGAAGACAACUCGUCCUCCCAAUGACUGAGCUGAGCUGUGCUGACAGGAGGGAAGAUCUGUGGCCGAGCUGUCACCACCCGGCGUGGGCGAUCCAUCUGGGUCCAGGAACCCGGCCAGGCGGACGUAUUCAGUGCACGCUCGGAAGACAAACAUACGCAUUUAUGUGUCACUUGUUGCGAUAUAAAUGCGAACCUGUGCUUCUUUCAAAACUUUUAAUGAAUUGUAUACAUUGCGGAAGAUUUAAAGGGUAAACCCAGUGGCUCAAAAUGUUACUUUGAACAUAUUUGUCACUUCGACAACAGCACCAAAAAAAAAAAAAAAAAAAA